rnacentral:rRNA from 1 species
CAGCAGCCGCGGUAAUACGUAGGUCCCGAGCGUUGUCCGGAUUUAUUGGGCGUAAAGCGAGCGCAGGCGGUUUGAUAAGUCUGAAGUUAAAGGCUGUGGCUCAACCAUAGUUCGCUUUGGAAACUGUCAAACUUGAGUGCAGAAGGGGAGAGUGGAAUUCCAUGUGUAGCGGUGAAAUGCGCAGAUAUAUGGAGGAACACCGGUGGCGAAAGCGGCUCUCUGGUCUGUAACUGACGCUGAGGCUCGAAAGCGUGGGGAGCGAACAGGAUUAGAUACCCCAGUAGUCCCUGUCUCUUAUACA